UCGAAACUGCUCCAUCUUCUUCUUCAGUCCACCCCCAUCACCAUCACCAUCACCAUCCACAAAUAUUGGAAUUGAUUAUUAUCUCGAACCUGUGAGUGACGCACAGAUUUAAACAAGAAAAUAGAGACAAAUUUGUUUCUGAAGAUGAUUGAUUUCAAGGGUUUGAUGGAUUUCUGAAGUUGAAUGAAGAACAGAUUGGGGACUUGGUGCUGAUUCAAGUUGUUUGAGUGAUGCUGAUGUCGAAUUGAAGAAAGAGGAAAGAGGGAAUUGCUGAUUGUUAAAAGAAAUUAAGGUUUGAGUUAUGAUGAUUCUGUAAUCGAGACAAAGAUGGAGAUCGAGAACAUGAGUUGAAGUUCUGAGAUGAAAGAAUAAUUGGGUCUGUGAAACUGAAUUUGGUGGUGAGCUAGGUCAGGUGAAGAUUGAGAUGUUACAGGGAAGAUGGAGACUGGAAGGAAGAGAAGAUGAACUGUUGGUCUUGUUAACUGGUUAUGCAGUUGAGAGUUAACAGGCGGAAUUGGUACUGGUGGUACGGAAACAGAACUGAAAUUGUUAAUUGAGUAUGAAAUGGAAUGAGAUUCUAGCUGCUAGUGAUGACUGAGCAGAUACAGGAAAGUAUGGUUAUUUGCAGUCGAAUUGAAGCUGAGAAUAAAUGGUUAUGAAGCUACAGAGUAAUUAACUGAGCAGGUGUUGGUCCAUAUGCAUUCUCAGAAUUACAAGUACACCAGUAACCUAUCAAGGUUUCAGGACAAUUGUUACAUCUGUAUCAUGUUCAUAGUGCUCUUAUGAGCUAUUGAACCAUCUACUUAGUUGUAUUUACUUCGCCUGAGCAGAGCAUUUCAAGAAUGGAUACAUCUCCGAGAGUAAGCUAUUAUGGGCUGAAGGAAGAGCCGAGUGACUGCCGUUGUCAUCGAUCCCAGACUGUUCACAGGAAUAUCUACUAUUACAGCAGCGACUUCUGACAAUGAUGAUGAGUUCUCCAAAUGGCAGGAGGAGGUUAGGAAAGCGGAACUCGAAGCUGAGGCUUUGAAGCAUGGCUUAAAAUUAAAUGAUGUUGGUGGCUCAGAUCACUUGAAAGACUUGGAGGGGGGUGUUGACGAAAGGCCUUCCACACCACCUGAUGCCGAGGAAGAAUUCACUGACGAUGAUGGAAAUUGUGUACAAGUGGGACAGAGGUCUUAGAGCAUGGGUUCCCCAAAUAAAUGUCAAAGAAAGCACAAAAAGCAAAUAAUAUGUGGUGGCGUCUGAGUGGAGUUCUAGGUGAUCAGAAUCGUAUGCUCAUGUAUAUCCUGUUCCAAGCUGCAUUCACAGUUGCCACAAUGGCUUUAACUGUGCCAAUAUUUCUGUCUUAUGAAUUGCAUGUGAUUUUCCAAAUACUCAAAGUCUCAGCAUCUAUAUGGAAUGGAGGAAUCAUUUUAUUAGAGGUGAUGCCCUGCAGGCAAGUCAUAAUGAAGGAGAAGAAGAAACUUGAAAUGGUGCCAUUGCCAGUCCAACCCGAUCAGCCUGCUACUGUCUCAACCUAAAUUCCCACAGAACUACAGCUUCACAGAGUCCGACAACCAGUCAGAAUAGCCUUGUAUAAAAGAAAAGGACUUGUAAAAUUUCGUUUUCGCUACUGCUAGAAAAGUUUAGUUAGUACACCUAUGACUGAUAUCUUGGGAUUUUGGAUUUUGAGGUGUGGAAAGUUUAGUUUUGAACUCGAGCCGUAGAAAUCAAAUAACAGCAUAUCAAAUCUCCUUUACAAUUUUUCCUGAACAUCUCUUUUACAAAAAAAAUAAAUUCAUUUACUUUUUUUUUAUAAGAAAAAGGAGGAUAAACU